CAGCAGUACUAACUUCGAGUUGAAAUUUCUUGUGCUUUGUGUUAUUGACAAGUGAAAUGAUAACAGAUAUGUAGGAUUAAUUUUGCACCGGACUUUCACUUUAAUUCCUACAUAUACUGGCUUAUCAAGCAUGAGGAAUCACAUCAACAAAUACUAAGAUGCUGAAUCCAUUCGAAAACAUUGUUUCAUUUCAAGCAUUUUCUGAAGAAUACAAUAUAAAAUAUCAAGGAAGAAACGAAUUUGCUUCGCAUUCUUGAAGCAGGUAUAAGAUCAUAGACUGCAGCUGUGACCCCA
rnacentral:misc_RNA from 1 species